UACAGAGGGGGCAAGCGUUGUUCGGAAUUACUGGGCGUAAAGGGCGCGUAGGCGGCCUGUUAAGUCGAACGUGAAAUCCCCGGGCUCAACCCGGGAACUGCGUCCGAUACUGGCAGGCUUGAAUUCGGGAGAGGGAUGCGGAAUUCCAGGUGUAGCGGUGAAAUGCGUAGAUAUCAGGAGGAACACCGGUGGCGAAGGCGGCUACCUGGACCGGUUCUGACGCUGAUGCGCGAAAGCGUGGGUAGCAAACGAGG
rnacentral:rRNA from 1 species